GACGAACGCUGGCGGCGUGCCUAACACAUGCAAGUCGAGCGGAGAUAAGCGGAUGGUAACUGAAGUUUGUCUUAGCGGCGGACGGGUGAGUAACACGUGGGCAACCUGCCUUGGAGUGGGGGAUAACACCGGGAAAUCGGUGCUAACACCGCAUAACAUACACAUACUGCAUGGUGAGUGUAUCAAAGGAGCAAUCCGCUUUAAGAUGGGCCCGCGGCUGAUUAGCUAGUUGGUAAGGUAACGGCUUACCAAGGCGACGAUCAGUAGCCGACCUGAGAGGGUGACCGGCCACACUGGAACUGAGACACGGUCCAGACUCCUACGGGAGGCAGCAGUGGGGAAUAUUGCGCAAUGGGGGAAACCCUGACGCAGCAACGCCGCGUGGAGGAAGAAGGUCUUCGGAUUGUAAACUCCUGUCUUCUGGGACGAAGUAUGACGGUACCAGAGGAGGAAGCCACGGCUAACUACGUG
rnacentral:rRNA from 1 species